GAGGGUCCGUCGGGAAGUUGAAUCUCAGAUUCAAGAGGAGUAGUGUGGUUUUCGUCCUGGCCGUGGAACAGUGUACCAGCUUUACAUUCUUAGCAGGGUCCUCGAGGAUGCAUGGGAGUUCGCCCAACCAGUCUACUUUUGUUUCGUGGAUAAACUCCGACUGCAACGGACAAUCAAAACUGCUGAAAGGAUCGUCGGAUUGCAAAAUCCUCUCGGACCCUCCCCACCCCGGUCACCAGCUCUUCCAGCUCCUUCCCUCAGGUAACCUCUGUGCUUUUGGGCUUAUGGAUGACCUAUUCGGCAGCUGAUGGUAAGUAUUUGGUGUGUCUAAUGCAAGAUUUGCAUGUAUGUUUUCUAUUACAGCUUCGACUGUAGUCCUGGCCCUCCUUAUAUCUGGAAAUUUAGGACCUGUUGAUGGUGUAAAGUAUUCUUGACCUCUCCUCCCCUCGUCGGCCACGUUGGAAGGGUCCAGAGAAAGCUAUACCCGAUCCUGUACUUGGGCCCCUGGAGGGAGGACCCCCCCCCCCCCCAGUCAAGAAGGAAUUUCUCCAGUGUUCAUUGGGGGUGGACGGGCGUGCAAUCGGCUCAUCUUGGUCCACAGAUGAAAUACGAAUGUUGAGUUUGUUCUCGUUCAACAACUUGAUUCUUGAAAAAUACAAGAGAAUCAAAUAAACAUCACGCCAUAUAAGAAGACUGAGAAAUAAAAAUGCAUAUAAAAAUGUGUACCUUAAAAAAGUACUCACCCAAAUCACCAAAAGGAGAAAACCCCUCGUAAGGUACUGAAGACCAAACCUGUCUGAAGGUCAUCCAAGUAUAGGCCUAUAUAGGUAAUAGGCAGCAAAAAUGACACCACAAAAUUUCCCAAAAGAAACAAGAACCCUCAAUGAUUCCACCGAGGGAGAAGGUAGAUACCUUUUGACACCAUACAGGUCCAAAAUUCUCCCAUGAGGAGGGGCAAAAGGAUGGAAAUCAAUUUAAAGGACCAGUACAGUGUUUACAGUGCGCUCAGCCAAAUAAUACAAUAUCUCCCUCUCGUGGCAAAAAUCCACAACAAUAAUAAGUCAAUCCGAGGCAGAAUUUGAAAACGCAACCGGACAACAAAAAAAGUUCCCACUAAAGCCAAGUCAUGGCUACAGACAUCAUAUCCCUACAAAGUAUGUCCAUGGCUAAACAAUUGGAACUCACCUGGGGAGUUGGAACAACUUUUUUGGAAAAUGAAUCCGCUCGAGGUUGUACUUGGUUGGAAUGAUGACUUCCCUCGUAUAGACCGUAUUCAAGUUGUCCGACGCCACAAUCAAUAAUACGCCUUGUUGAAGCGAGGAAGAGAAAAAAUAUCAAAACAAAAGGAAUUACUUGGAAAAAGUAAAAAGUCAUUAUUUUUUAAGGUAAUAUAGAAUACUUUAUAAUAUUCUAAUAUGUAAUUCUAUAUGUAAUAUAAUAUAAUAUAGAGUUUCAUGGUGUAACUGGUUUGGAAGGUAAGCAAGGAUGUUUAUUGCAGUAUAAUCAGAUAAGGGGGUAGGAGUUUAUUGCAGGAAAGCCCCCCCCCACCAGGCUGUAUGUGAAGACCAUAUAGAACAGAUGUCAAGGAAGAAAAGGACUGCGGGGAGCCACUAUAAACAUUAGAUGCAAGAAUGUGGGACGGCGUCUGGAGACGGCAUCUGGAGUCAGCGGCAAAUGGUCAUCAUUCUGCAGAGCAACAAUGACGUCAGAUGGGACCAUGGACCAAUCAGACGACAGCGAUUCCAUACUUCCACUUUGAAACAUUGUAUAAGUCUGGGGUAGAAUCAGAUAGUUUUUUUUGUUCAACUACUCUAUCUGCUAAGGAUAAGAUAGGGAUAGUUACGAACCCAGAG